AUUGAACGCUGGCGGAAUGCUUUACACAUGCAAGUCUAACGGCAGCACGGACUUCGGUCUGGUGGCGAGUGGCGAACGGGUGAGUAAUGUAUCGGAACGUGCCCAGUCGUGGGGGAUAACGUAGUGAAAAUUACGCUAAUACCGCAUACGAUCUAUGGAUGAAAGCGGGGGAUCGCAAGACCUCGCGCGAUUGGAUCGGCCGAUAUCAGAUUAGGUUGUUGGGGGGGUAAAGGCCCACAAAGCCAACGAUCUGUAGCUGGUCUGAGAGGACGACCAGCCACACUGGAACUGAGACACGGUCCAGACUCCGACGGGAGGAAUGAGUGUGUAAUUUUGGACAAGGGGCGAAAGCCUGUUCCAGCCAUUCCGCGUGCAGGAUGAAGGCCCUCGGGUUAUAAACUGCUUUUGUACAGAACGAAAAGGUUUCUACUAAUACUAGGAGCUCAUGACGGUACUGUAAGAAUAAGCACCGGCUAACUGCGUGCCAGCCGCCGCAGUAA
rnacentral:rRNA from 1 species